GGAGUUUGGUAGAGCAGAUGACUGUUACUCAUCCUGUCGCGGGUUCGAAUCCCGCUCCA
rnacentral:tRNA from 1 species